GGCUUCAUUUUCCAUGGAUAUUAUUUGGAGAAACUGGAGAGUUGAAGAACCAGAAAUUGCUAGUGUAUUUUAGCAUAAGUAUCUUAGAGUUUAGUAUAGAGAUCCUAAAGGGGGUUAGUUCUGUUCAAAUACUGAGUUUUCUGUUGUUUUGAUUUUUAGUGGAUCAACUGUGUAUCUGAAAUAGAUAUUUUCAAAUUUCACAGAACAAUUGUGUAACACUAGGUAUAUAUGGCCAAUACUUAAAUGUACUUUAAAACAACAUCCCCCGACCCCCAGAUGAGCUUUUCCUGGCAAGAUGAAGAAAGAAGAAAAUGGAGACAGUGGGUCAUCUCUGAAACUGCAAUGUGUAAGAUGCAUGUAGGAAGUGAUAGUUGAUUGACUCUCAAAAAUGAAUACAGGAAAGAUAGUUGAGAAAAAGGAAAUCCAGGCAGCACAGGGGUUGGCUGGUGUUAACAGCUCUGUGUCUCUUUCCUUCUUCCUCAUCGAGGUUGAGUGCUUUCCAGACAUCUCGGAGGAACCAGGCUCCGAAGUCUGCAGAUCAUGUGUUCCAAGCCCUUGAAACAGAGCUAACACAACACACCCAGACUACGGCUGUACCUCCCCGUUUGCUUUGGGUUUGCAGUCACAACUCAGUAGACACUGCAUUCCCUACCUAUCUCCCUUGUCUGCAAAUGUCAGGGAGGAGCAGGCUGGAGCCCUAGGUGGCGGGGACUGGGCCCCAGCCGCUGACUGGCCAGGCAUCAACUCGACCAUCAGAGCCAUGCUGGAAGUGGACCUUCAAUCCCUGACCUCAGGUACCAGAGGAGGACGGACAACACAGUUGCCGCCUGCUGUGGCCUCCCCGGGACUGACUCCCAGAACAAGACUUUCUUAUCUAUCAAGGAAACUAGGUUUGACCAUAGGCAAACAUCAGGUAGACUCAGUGACGUGGGAGUAGUUGAAAACAUUUCAGCUCAGUGCUUGCAGGUCAUUCCCAAAGAUGUACCUACUGCCAUUCCUCCAGGUGGUAGCCUAGCAUGAGGGCCUGUCUUCACUUGACCUA